CUGUUAGCGUGCUUGGUUGGAGGUAAACGCUGAUAGGAGUUUACGCAUAAGCAGUCGACGUGAUGUUUCUGAGAGCCUGUCACAGAGUUUAUCAUAAAAUGCCACCUGGGAAGAAAGGACAAGCAGCUAGCAAGGCAUCAAAAGCAGUAUGCUUUGAUGAUUAUAUCUAAACAAAUUAAAAACAAAAUGAUGUAACUUAUGACUGGCUAGUUACCAUUACUACAAGAGAACUCCACAUGUCUCAUAGUCUCUUUUUAGAUUCCCACAGAAGACCCUGGAGCUGUUAGUUUGAGCAGUAAAAGCAACAAUGUCACUGUCAAGGUGCUAGCAAAACCAGGAGCCAAAUUCAAUGGUGUCACAGACAUAAGCCCUGAAGGUGUUGGUGUGCAGAUAGCAGCUCCCCCAGUGGAAGGAGAAGCUAAUACAGAACUGGUCAAAUAUAUGGCAAAAGUGCUUGGAGUUCGUAAAUCUGAUGUCAGUCUUGAUAGGGGUUCAAAGUCAAGAAACAAGACAUUGGUGAUUUCUGGAGAUUUGACUGUGGAUAGUGUGGUAGCAAGUCUACAAAGAGAGAUCAGUAAUGGAUGAACAUAAGUUUUCAUUAGAAAAUGAUCUGUGCCACUUAUAACUUGCCUGCUGACCACUGAGUGGUACUAAAGUAAGGCAAACUUCAGUUGAAUGUCCCCUGUAGAACUACACAAUGCAGUAAUAUUUCAGUUACUCUAGGAAAUGCUAAAAGUACAUCCAGCCCCAGGUAUCAAGUUAUCAGUAGUUUGAGACAAGCAGUGUUUAUGCUAGACCAUAUAAUAAACGAAGACUUCUGGGACCAAGUUAAUUCAUGUUAAGCAACGUAUUAAGAUAACAGGAUGCACUGUAUCGUUACUGAUGCGGUCAGAGGAACACGUGGAUUCAAUGCUAUCAAUAUUGUGGGCAGUAUCUUGUUGGAAGUGUUAUAUUACCUCUUGAGAGUACAUUGUAUUAAGUAUUGAUCAACUGGUGCCAUGUCUGUAAAGUUAUGAAUAAAAGUGAUACUUUUCUGUAUAGAAUAUGGUGUGUUCAUCAGGUUAAAACCCUCUACAGUGUCCAAGAUAACAUGAUACUGUAGAUUUCAUGCAUUCUACCUUCAGGUUAUAAACAUCAUGUUUUGAAUUCAACAUGUAACCAACAGGAAUGGAAACUAUAAUAUACCUAAGAAUAUUAGGUGAGAGAAUAUUAUUCAGAAAAGUCCUUUGGCCCAAAAUACAUACAGUAGCUUACUGGGUAUGCUAUUCAGGUGCAUGUAUAGUAAGCAUACAUUUGUGUGUACACCAAUAAAUGAAUUGAAUAAACUGUCUGUCUGAAUAUGUUA